AGUGGGGUAGCUCAGUGGUACACACUUGCCUACGCCUAACAUGUGUAAGGCUCUGGGUUCAACCCCCAGUACUACUC
rnacentral:tRNA from 1 species